AUUGAACGCUGGCGGCAGGCCUAACACAUGCAAGUCGAGCGCGCGCCGGACGCGUGUGUAAUGUAUGGGGACUGCCCGAUAUAGGGGGAUAACUACUGGAAACGGUGUCUAAUACCCCAUACUGUCGGAUAACCCAUAUGGGAUUAGCUAGUAGGUAAGGUAAUGGCUUACCUAGGCGACGAUCCCUAGCUGGUCUGAGAGGAUGAUCAGCCACACUGGGACUGAGACACGGCCCAGACUCCUACGGAGGCAGCAGUGGGGAAUAUUGCACAAUGGGCGCAAGCCUGAUGCAGCCAUGCCGCGUGUAUGAAGAAGGCCCUAGGGUUGUAAAGUACUUUCAGUCGGGAGGCGUUACCGACAGAAGAAGCACCGGCUAACUCCGUGCCAGCAGCCGCGGUAAUAC
rnacentral:rRNA from 1 species